rnacentral:rRNA from 1 species
CCUACGGGGGGCUGCAGUGGGGAAUUUUGGACAAUGGGCGCAAGCCUGAUCCAGCCAUGCCGCGUGCGGGAAGAAGGCCUUCGGGUUGUAAACCGCUUUUGUCAGGGAAGAAAUCCUCUGGGUUAAUACCUCGGGGGGAUGACGGUACCUGAAGAAUAAGCACCGGCUAACUACGUGCCAGCAGCCGCGGUAAUACGUAGGGUGCAAGCGUUAAUCGGAAUUACUGGGCGUAAAUCGUGCGCAGGCGGUUAAUCCCCGUGCUUAACCUGGGAACUGCACUUGUGACUGCACGGCUUGAGUGCGGCAGAGGGGGAUGGAAUUCCGCGUGUAGCAGUGAAAUGCGUAGAUAUGCGGAGGAACACCGAUGGCGAAGGCAAUCCCCUGGGCCUGCACUGACGCUCAUGCACGAAAGCGUGGGGAGCAAACAGGAUUAGAUACCCUGGUAGUC